ACACUUCCCUGGCAGGGGAGAUACCAUGGUCACAAAGGUGGCUUUCCCAAGACGAGGUUUAUCCACUACAUUCCCAUGCUGGACAAGGUUUAUCCAUCGCACUACACGUGUGUCUGUUCCUGAGAUUUCCCCAGAUGUGGGAAACUCGGCUGGGGAAAAC